AUUGAACGCUGGCGGCAGGCCUAACACAUGCAAGUCGAACGAGCGGCGGACGGGUGAGUAAUGUCUGGGACACUGCCUGAUGGAGGGGGUUAACUACUGGAAACGGUAGCUAAUACCGCAUACCAUCGGAUGUGCCCAGAUGGGAUUAGCUAGUUGGUGGGGUAACGGCUCACCAAGGCGACGAUCCCUAGCUGGUCUGAGAGGAUGACCAGCCACACGGUAACGGGGACACGGUCCAGACUCCUACGGAGGGCAGCAGUGGGGAAUAUUGCACAAUGGGCGAAAGCCUGAUGCAGCCUUGCCGCAUGUAUGAAGAAGGCCUUCGGGUUGUAAAGUACUUGCAGCGGGGAGGCGUUACCCGCAGAAGAAGCACCGGCUAACUCCGUGCCAGCAGCCGCGGUAAUUC
rnacentral:rRNA from 1 species